GCCUACGGCCAUGCCACCCUUAACAAACCCGAUCUCAUCUGAUCUCGGAAGCUAAGGAGGGUCGGGCCCUGCUUAUUAUUUGGAUGGGAGACCACAUCGGAAUAUUAGGUGCUGUAGGCA
rnacentral:rRNA from 1 species